AUGCUUACUAGGUUAGGAAGAUAGCAUGAUUAUGAUGGUGGUUUUCCCAGGGUGAGGCUUAUCCAUUGCAUUCCAGGUGUGCUGCCCGCUGUGAUUUCCCCGAUUACAGGAAACUCAUCUGCAAAAUUUAUAGUUGUGGCGAACUGCGUUUGUGCUCUCCUGU